GAAGCUUCCACAAUACACAUACUAAAAAUGGAAUACUAUAGAGAAAACUGCAUGGUCCUGCACAAGAAUGACACACAAAUUCAUGAAGAGCUCCACAUUUAA
ensembl:snRNA U6 U6 spliceosomal RNA